AUGACUCCCACCAGACAACCAAUCAUGAUCUAGACUCUGCAAUCCUCACAGUCAUGCAAAGGAGACUUUACCAUCCUCAUCCUCCUUUUUACGGAAGAACUAGGAGGAGAGAAAUCAUGUAAAUUAUUUAAGACCCCACAGCUCCUGAAUUCACACAGCAUCAGCUCCAGUGACCAGCAGAGACUGGCCCAUCUUUGAACCCAGAUUCCUAACAUCUGAGAGAAAGAAUCCAACAUGCACCUUUGAGAAACUCUCAUUGAGGAGGAAACAGACUCUGAGACAUGGAAUUCCCAGCCCAAAUUAACAAAGAGCAGCGCUAGAAUUUAUACCUAGGUCUGUCUGGACCUCAGAGGCUGGAAGACCAAAGAGUCCUGUAUUCCAAGAGUUCUUGGGUACAGGUCACAGUCCUUCUGGCUAUGAGGUUAGUAUAAGCCAGUCCAGUCUCUGAAGGCCAUGUGGGCUCUUCAAACUGAAAAACGUUCAAGUGAUCUGUUUCUCUGUAUUUCUCAUCCCUGAGGCUAAGACGGCUCAGUUGCUUGUCUUCACCAGCUGGCAGAGGCAAUUGGAGCAGAAGGUAGGAUGUGGAUUCAUUCGGCUGUUUUUUCACGUAAAGUAUGAAAUAUAUCUUAAGCGCUCGUUAUUUGUUGCUGUCAAGUUGGUAUACACUCUUUUUACUUGAAUUCUCUGAGGUUUCGACCUCAGUUUCCUCAUCUGUGGAUUAGAGACUAAAUUAUCAGUAAAUUAUCUUUCAGGAGUAAGUAGCCAAAUAAUCUCAAGAUUUUACUAUUUCGUUUCUUAACUCCUGUAUCAGAAAUAGUUUCAGAUGCUUGAUAAGUGCUGAAUGCAUAAAUAUAAAGGAUUUAACAAAGUGUUCGGGAGCGAGAAGCGCAGCGUUAUUUGGAUACCCU
rnacentral:lncRNA from 1 species